rnacentral:rRNA from 1 species
UACGAAGGGGGCUAGCGUUGCUCGGAAUCACUGGGCGUAAAGCGCACGUAGGCGGAUGAUUAAGUCAGAGGUGAAAGCCUGGAGCUCAACUCCAGAACUGCCUUUGAUACUGGUUAUCUUGAGUUCGGAAGAGGUUGAUGGAAUUGCGAGUGUAGAGGUGAAAUUCGUAGAUAUUCGCAAGAACACCAGUGGCGAAGGCGGUCAACUGGUCCGAUACUGACGCUGAGGUGCGAAAGCGUGGGGAGCAAACAGG